AUCCUAGAUGAAAGAAUAGUUAACCCUCAGCAUAGUUGUAUCUUUAAAAAAAUGGCUUGAAGUGUUUUUGUUUGACAGUUUUACCUUUUCUAAACCUAGACGAGUGCUUUCAUCUAUCGGAAAGAGCUGCAACUUAAUCUUAGUGGAAGGAUGAAGUCUUUCUUCUGUAUUCAAGUAAAGUGCAGGUAUUGUAAUUCCUUCCACAAUUCUGGUUUUUGUAGUUUUAGACCUUGAAGAUGGUGCUUCACCUGAACCACUAGGUAAUGAAUGCUCAUCCUUUUCUGUUUUUCCUAAAUUAGAAGACAAAAAACUUAUAGUUAAAAGCACAAUUCAAGUACUCCAAUUUAUGAAAGAAAUCAACAUUUAUACUUAAAAAGAUAAAUUUCUUAGUAAGGCAACAAGUCCAGCGUCCUGCCUGUUGCUCCCUGAAGCUGCUGCUCAACUCUUGUCUUUCUAGAUCUAUCGACUCCCUUACAACCUUCGUGCACAUUGAUUUCUGAAUGUGGUUCUAACGCUUUUAUCCUUCUCUUUCUAUUAGUUCCCAUGUGAUAAAAGUUUUCCUAUCAACCAAACCAACCAUAAACAACAUUAAACUGAAAGUGCUUUACCAAAAAUAUCCACCAACAUUAAACACAAAACAAAACAAAACAAAAAAAAAUAAAAAUUCUUCUGAAACUCCAUUUCUAUGAGAGUCUGCCACCGCUAGCCUUUAAUUAAAAAUCAGUGCAUAACAUAAUAUUUCAAUCUCUAAAAGACAGUUUUUUUUUUUAAAUCUAAAUCCCAACUUUAAACACGGAGUAGUUUUAAGCCUUUCGGUUUCAUUGGAAUAUUUAGGGUUCAGCAUUUUAGAACUAACAACUGAAGCAAAAAUGUUCCUUAGAUUAAAAAGAAAAAAGAAAAAAAAAACUAUAUUCAUGAACUGCAUACUCAAGCAAUGCCAAAGAGGAUUCGAUUAAAUAGCCGGCGGUUCAAACCCUAAUUCUCAAAUUAGGGAUACAAGAAAAUAUAUAUUAAAGCAUAACGGACUUUAUACAUUAACUGGAAAAUAAAUAAGGUCCUGACUAAAGCAUCAAAUUGAAAUCACAAAUCAUCUGAAAAUUUUUAGUCAGUACCAUAAGGAUUGAUCUUUAGCAACAUAUGUUGAAAUUAAAAGAAAAUAUCAGGAAUUAAAGAUGAACAAUUUACAAAUAAAUCUAACUAAAAUUCUCAAUUCUAUAAAUAAAAAAUAAAAAAAGAGUUUUAGUUUAACCUGAAUAGAAUCAGAGCAGCGCAAAUUUGAAAAGUGGUGAAUAGUAGUGGCGGGAAUUUGAGGAUCUCGAAGAAAAGGUUUUCAAGGGCGUAUUUGUUUCUGCAAAUAGUUAAAAAUGGACUUUCAAAUUCAAAGGUAAAUGCCGCCAAGUAAGUUUAUAUUUGGCUUAAACCAAAGAACGCCCCCAAACUAUAACAUUUUUCCCACUUAAGUACUUAAACAUUUUUUUUAUCAUUUUAGGUAUCUAGUCUCUUUUUUUUUCAUAUUGGUACUUGUAUUAGUCAACUGUUAGUUGACCGUUAAUUAAUUAUGUUCACUGAUGAUAUGGUCCAAUUACAUAAGGACAUGUAGCAAACAAAACCACAUAAGCAAUAUCAUAUCAUUAUUUAUAUAAAAUAAUUCCAAAAAACAAAAUAAUUUAUGUAAUUGAAAUUGAAAUUAGAAUAUAUAAAAUUUAAAAAAUAAAUUUAUGAAUGUUUAUAGUAUAUUAAAUAUAUUUUUCUUCCUUUCUAAUUUCCCCCUUUCUUUGUCGGUGUAAUUUUGAAGAAUGAAAUCAUUGUAACAAGUCUUUUGUAUAUCCUGUUCUUGGUAAAUCCUUGAAAUGGAUUCAUUUUCUAAAUGCUUCCAAAGAUGUUAAGUUCUUGCAAAUGAAGAAUACCUUACCAAUUCCUUGCAUUUUUGUAGAUAUCCCCUUGUCUCCGUUACAAAUGAAAUCAAAUGUUACGAGUUGGAAAAUUAAGCAAGGAAUGAAGAAUAAAAGAGUUAGUUAUUAGCGGUUAGUGCUUUAAGUCAAACGGUGAGUUUUGUUACUUGUUAAAACGGGGCGUAAUAUUUAGUUAAACGGUGCAUUUGGCUAUAACAGAAUUGCCACAUUGCUCUCUUGUUAUUUGUUUCCUUUUAAGUACAGGUUGUAUGGGGAAAAACAGUUAUGGAAAUAUUGAAGUAAACCUUCCUGUAACACCUCGUACCCGAGACCAUUGCUGGAGUCAGACACGAGGGGUUCGCAGACUUAAAUCACUUAUUUGCACAGUCUAUUUUAAAUUUCCAGACGAGCUGGCUAACUGCGUCACUAUCACCUUAAAAAUCAUAUCUCGAGUUCCAAAACUCGAAAACCAGUUCCGUAAAUUUUUUCUGAAACUAGACUCAUAUGUUCAUCUACAAAUUUUUUUCUAGAAUUUUUGGUUGAGCCAAUUAGUACAUUUUAUUAGCUAAAGUCUCCCCUGUUUCAGGGUUCGACUACACUGACCUUUGCGCAUUAUGACUUGGAUAUCUCCCUGUACAGGGCUUCAAUACUGAUGCUGUUUGUUUCUAUAGAAACUAGACUCGAAAGGGAAUCUAUACAUAU
rnacentral:lncRNA from 1 species